rnacentral:rRNA from 1 species
GGUCAAAGUAUAUAAGAGUCUAUGGUGGAUGCCUAGGAGCU